rnacentral:rRNA from 1 species
GAGAUACUAUUAGACUUGAGACCGGGAGAGGUUAGAGGUACGUCCCAGGGUAGAGGUGAAAUUCUGUAAUCCUGGAGGACCGCCUGUUGCGAAGGCGUCUAACUGGAACGGUUCUGACGGUGAGGGACGAAAGUUAGGGGCGCGAACCGGAUUAGAUACCCGGGUAGUCCUAACUGUAAACGAUGCGGACUUGGUGUUGGGUGGCUUUGAGCUGCUCCAGUGCCGAAGGGAAGCUGUUAAGUCCGCCGCCUGGGAAGUACGGUCGCAAGACUGAAACUUAAAGGAAUUGGCGGGGAGCACCACAACGCGUGGAGCCUGCCGGUUUAAUUGGAUUCAACGCCGGACAUCUCACCAGAGGCGACAGCUGUAUGAUAGCCAGGUUGAUGACUUUGCUUGACUAGCUGAGAAGAGGUGCAUGG